rnacentral:rRNA from 1 species
UACGGGAGGCAGCAGCGGGGAAUAUUGCACAAUGGGCGCAAGCCUGAUGCAGCCAUGCCGCGUGUAUGAAAAAGGCCUUCGGGUUGUAAAGUACUUUCAGUCGUGAGGAAGGUGUUAAGGUUAAUAACCUUAGCAAUUGACGUUAGCGACAGAAGAAGCACCGGCUAACUCCGUGCCAGCAGCCGCGGUAAUACGGAGGGUGCGAGCGUUAAUCGGAAUUACUGGGCGUAAAGGGCACGCAGGCGGUUAAUUAAGUUGGAUGUGAAAUCCCCGGGCUUAACCUGGGAAUGGCAUUCAAGACUGGUUAGCUAGAGUCUUGUAGAGGGGGUAGAAUUCCAUGUGUAGCGGUGAAAUGCGUAGAGAUGUGGAGGAAUACCGGUGGCGAAGGCGGCCCCUGGACAAAGACUGACGCUCAUGUGCGAAAGCGUGGGGAGCAAACAGGGAUUAGAUACC